rnacentral:rRNA from 1 species
CAGCAGCCGCGGUAAUACGUAGGGGGCGAGCGUUGUCCGGAAUUAUUGGGCGUAAAGCGCGCGCAGGCGGUCCUUUAAGUCUGAUGUGAAAGCCCACGGCUCAACCGUGGAGGGUCAUUGGAAACUGGGGGGCUUGAGUGCAGGAGAGGAGAGCGGAAUUCCACGUGUAGCGGUGAAAUGCGUAGAGAUGUGGAGGAACACCAGUGGCGAAGGCGGCUCUCUGGCCUGUAACUGACGCUGAGGCGCGAAAGCGUGGGGAGCAAACAGGAUUAGAUACCCUGGUAGUCCACGCCGUAAACGAUGAGUGCUAAGUGUUAGAGGGGUCACACCCUUUAGUGCUGUAGCUAACGCGAUAAGCACUCCGCCUGGGGAGUACGGCCGCAAGGCUGAAACUUAAAGGAAUUGGCGGG